GGUCAAUCUGGCCAACAUGGGAAUGCAGCACCUCCAUUCCAGAGGAGAUGUGUGUUAAAGGGCUUUCAAAGCCUCUUGUGAAAAACCUCCUGCAAUCAAACUUGACUGAAUUGGUUCCGAAUGCUGAGAAAACAGACAUAGGCUCACCCUGCAUGCUUGAAAGUCUCCUUUGCUAAUCUGCAGCAAGGGGCCCAUUUUAAUCAUUAGUGUUUCUAGUGUGUUCUAGGCAUUAAAAGUAGCACAAAUAUAUAGUACUAAUAAUUUUAAGCCCGUUAUAAUAACGGGCGCUAGGUUUUUUUUUUCCUUUAUUCCUUCUUCCUUUCUCUUGUCCUUUUUCUUUUUUCUUUUCUUUCUAUUUGUCUUCCUUUCUUUCCUUUCCUUCCUUUUCUCACUCUUCUUUUCCCUCUCUCUCUAUUUUUUUUUAAAUUAUUCUUUUCUUUCUCUUUUCCUUCUUUCUUUCUCUAAUGGGCGUGCUCUGUGAGGGGCGGUUCCCCCCCCCUUUGUUCUUUACUUCUAUCUCUCCUGUUUUCCCUUCCUCCCUCUUUGUUUCCCCCCCCUUCUCUCUCUUCUCUCUUAUUCCUUUUUUAAAUUUCUUUUACUUUAUCUAUUGUUCUGUCUCCCUUCCUCAGUCCUUGUUUUCUGUCUCUCUGUUAUGUUUGUCUGUCUGUCUCUUUCUCUCUCUUUCUUUCUGUCUAUUCCUUCCUCCACUCUUUUUUUAAUUUACCCUUCCCUCUCCCGUACUCUCUUCUUUCCUUGCUUUGCCCCCACUCUGAAAAAGUCCCGAAGACGCCUAUGUGACCGCGCACCCCACAGCUUGCUGUGAGCGGAGUCUCUCCCUAAGGAAGCGGCUUGCUCUCACUGCGCUUCUGCCUGAAGGCAGCGUGGCACGAAACUGAAAGCAGCGGUGAGGACUGGAGCGUCUGGCACAGACUACUUCCUCGCUGCAACUCAGCAGCACCGCCAGUUGCUCCUGCCGUUUCAGCGGCCCUUUAAAGGGGCAGGGCCCAGUCACAGCAGCUGUAAAAGUUUACUCUGCAUUUCAGAGUGGCUGGCUGAGGCCGCUCCAAUCCCGGCGGCCACGCUGCUCUCCCGGGAACAAAGUGGAGGCGGGAGCGUGCACGUGCGAUGGCUACUCCGGCAGGCCGCCUUUGCAAUCUCCAACUCAGCUUGCUCUGGGGGCAGGAAGAGGCGACAGGGGCGCCUCAUCGUCGGCCCGGGCACCUGCUGAGGGAUCGGGCAGCUGGGAGGGCGGGCAAGGGCCCCAAAGUCUCCCCCCCACUCAGCUUCAGUGGCGAAGCCAGGCCUCGGCCGGCUUCCCCCACCGCCUCUUCCUCCCGGCUGGCUUCGGUGGCGCAGCCAGGCCUCGGCCAUGGCUCCGCCGCCGCCUCGGCCGCGGCGUGUCCUCCCCGCCGCGUCCCCGCUCUUCCAGUUUCCCCCGCCGCCUCUUCCCUGGUUUGGGGGGGCUUUCCCAGCUUCUUCGCGGCGGCCUCUGCCCUCCCGGCCAACAUGGUUGCUUGGUGUUGGCGGCCCAGAACAGCCCAGGGAGACAGGAACGCAGAUCCCCAACGUUCCAAGGCCACGGCCACUCACUUAGGGCUUUAUUAUAUAGGAUUCAAUGUAUAUCACUAUAUAUUGUGAAGUGUGUGUGUGUGUGUAUUCAGUGAAAUGUAUUUCUUGGCAGCAUACUUAUUUUGAAAUAUCAGACUUAAAUCCUUGGAAGCCUGGGGUGUGUGGAGGCCCUGGACUUGGGGGGGGGGCAUUUUAAAAUCUCUUCUCAGGGCCCACUCCAACCUUGCUACGCCCCUGAGCACAUUCGGCUCCGCUCUUAGAGCUCUACUUCGAAAAGGGAGCACAAUGCAGAGAGCUUCACGAUUGAAAAGGGAGCUGCAUCUGCUGUCCACAGAGCCACCACCAGAAGAGCAGGGGAAGGAGGAGCCCCGCAGUCUGAUGAGGAUGAUCACAACAGGGAUUUGACAAGCUGAACCCAAGGACAGCCCACUACACACCCCUUCCCUCCAGCUGCAAUCACUUGAAAAGAGAGACUGCUGAGUAUGUGAGGCAAGAUCCUCGGCAGACUCAGAGUACAUCUUGCCCCUGCUGUGUUUUUCCUGCAACUUGGUCAUGGCAUUCAGUAAUUGGAAUGAGUCCGGAGCGUCUGAAACCCACGAGCGUAAAUGGGGGGUGACGUUCCUCUCCCUCCC